rnacentral:rRNA from 1 species
GAAAGCCCACAGCUGAACUGUGGAACUGCCGUUGAUACUGCCGAUCUUGAGUGCGGGAGAGAGAAGCGGAAUUCCAGGUGUAGUGGUGAAAUACGUAGAUAUCUGGAAGAACACCGGUUGCGAAGGCGGCUUCUUGGACCGACACUGACGCUGAGGCGCGAAAGCGUGGGUAGCGAACAGGAUUAGAUACCCUGGUAGUCCACGCUGCAAACGAUGAAUGUUAGAUGUCGGGGGAUUUUUCCUUCGGCGUCAAAGUUAACGCAUUAAACAUUCCACCUGGGAAGUACGAUCGCAAGGUUGAAACUCAAAGGAAUUGACGGGGGCCCGCACAAGCAGUGGAGCAUGUGGUUUAAUUCGAUGCAACGCGAAGAACCUUACCUAGGCUUGAAAUGUGUUCGAUCGGCCGUGAAAGCGACCUUCCUUCGGGCGGACACACAGGUGCUGCAUGGCUGUCGUCAGCUCGUGCCGCGAGGUGUUGGGUUAAGUCCCGCAACGAGCGCAACCCCUACCAUUAGUUGCCACCGGGUAAUGCCGAGCACUCUAAUGGAACUGCCUACGCAAGUAGUGAGGAAGGUGGGGACGACGUCAAGUCCGCAUGGCCCUUACGCCUAGGGCUACACACGUGCUACAAUGGGCGCAACAAUGGGCAGCGAUACCGCGAGGUGGAGCGAAUCCCUAAAAAGCGUCCUCAGUUCGGAUUGGAGUCUGCAACUCGACUUCAUGAAGUUGGAAUUGCUAGUAAUCGCGUAUCAGCAUGACGCGGUGAAUACGUUCCCGGGCCUUGUACACACCGCCCGUCAAGCCAUGGAAGCCGGGGGUACCCAAAGAUAGCGACCCAACCUUCGGGAAGGAGCUAUUUAAG